UCAUCUGUGGGGCACAGGUCAGGGUUGGUGUGAGUCUCAGAUGCCCCCACUCAGCCCCCUCCACCCCAAGAGCCUGACCCGAAGACAGGGGCUGCACUCACCAUCAUCUGACACCUCCACUUCAUCCUUCGGCUCUGGGGGGGGCACAAGGAAGGACAGAGAGGACACAGGUGAUUAGUACUGAAGGCCCACUGAGAGCAAGAUGUGCUGGGGGCCCUGCCAGGCCUCAGCCUCCCCAGGCAGACGACUACCAGGUCCAGAGCUCUGGGCAUCCCCUGGGGCUGGUCAGUCCAUAUAGCAAAUAGGGCCCAGUGCAGACUGGCAGGUGCCAGCCUCCUCCCUCCACUCAGCUCCACUUCUCCACCAGGUCUCCCCUCUGUCCCAUCCUCUCUAGCCUCAUGGUCCCCAGAUAUACCCUUCUCCACAUCUCAUCCAACCCUUUCUGACUUUCAGAACCUACACACAACUGUGACAGUCUCUUUCUGCCCUGGCUCAAAAGUCAGCAACUUAUAACUGCUUCUAGUGUCAAAUCCAUGUAGCCAUUCAUUGAACAUUGUUGACGGCAUCCCAGCACUGGACCAAGCAUCUUGAAUGCCAGUUAUUGUGGGCAUUCAAAACAUAUUACACAGAAGGCAUGGUCUCUCCUUUCUUAUAGCUUAUAAUUUAGUUCAAGAGGCAAAAACAUAUAUACUUGAAGUAACAAUUUACAAAGUGUACCAUAAUCACGCACAUAUCACCAUGGUUCAAAGUGAAUACACAACAGAGGAGGGUGACACAAAAUGGUGCAAUUGUAAGUGAGAGCAAUUAUUCUUAGAAGAAAUAGCCUUUGAGUUGCGUCUUACAGGAAAUGAUGGAAUACAAUGAAGGCGUGAGUGAUGUCACACAAAUGAAACCAAUAGGUAUUUGUGAGGCAGGGCAGGGAGGGACACAGUCAUGCCAGCUGCUCCCAUGGCCGUGUCAGGAGUGAACAGGGUCCGGGGAACAGGAGGGGUUCCCCGGAACAGGGGGGCAUCCAGCACAGCACGCCCACUUCAGAGCUCCAGGCCUUCCUUUGCCUCGAUACAGCCCUGCCGAUCCACAUUCCAGCCCAGAAUGCACUGCCCAGAAACUGUCUACCCCAAUAACCAAAGCCCUGGGAAUGAUUCUGGGAUUGUGACAGAGCCACUUCCCAGUGCUGGCAGUCAUGCCAGAGGCCUCCUGUGAUGGAAGCACUUUCACUGGCUGUUUAAUAUGUUCUCUUAGAAAAACUGUUUGUUCUGAGAGAUAUAUUGGCCUUUUUUGAAACAUUUCUGGUUUUGGCUAAGAUGUUUAUUACUCUAAACUCUCUUAAAGACAAGUGGUUCAAGUCCUCUCAAGACCCAGCUAAGGAAGUAAAAAAACCUGAAGAGGGAUGGAAGACAGACCCACUAUUCCUCCCAGAGAAGACUGCCUGGAGACCAUGUGAUUGGCCACAGUUGGAGUUGUGUGGGCUUAUAAACGAAUGCACUCUGCCAACUGAUCUUCCUUCUGCUUUGGUCAAGAAAAGAAAACUGAGAAAUGGGUGUUGCAGAAGAGGUGCCAUUUGUACCCUACCCUGUUACACAUGUCUCUUGGCUGAAAAUGAGAACCUAUACAUGACAUAUGUGAUACGUAAGACUUGUCACACAAGAGAAGAUGCAAAAUUUGGGGCGAGGGACUUUAAUUCCAAGUAAAACUCCAACAUUUUUAAGGAAUUUGCUACCAAAUUAAGGAGUUCAGAAAAGACCCAAGUCAGAAGUCCUAGGAGAUUGGAGGCCUCCCACUCCUCCACCUGCCUUUAGAGCUGUGGGCUGCACCUAAUGCUUUCUGUUCUUUCUAAGCUAUGAGCCCCAUGCAGUGGCUGAACUAGUAAAGGGAUGAAAACUCUCAGAAAAGAACAGAUGUCCUUAGAACAGGGAGCUCCUGUGAGCUUGUCCUCCACGGCGACACACUCAGACUGGGAGGGAGACCCUGGGCAUCUCUGGGCAAAGGAGACUCCACAUUUCCUCUGAAUUCUCCCAGGGCUCCCUGGAGGCUUGACUAACAGAAUAGGAAACUCAGCUCAGUCUAAGACAAGAGUCUCCAGUGGCACCAGCUCCAGGAUUUUCUCCUCAGCAAAUGUUCUAAUUUCCAGGAAAAUGGAGGAUCCUGUCCUACAGCUUCCCACUAGAGUAACUGCUCUUGAGGUCUCUUGGUCCUCGCUUAUUUGAAGAUGACCAGUGGCUAUGCCUAGCCCCACCUGGAUGUCCCUUCCCUGGGACUUCAGCAGCUGCUGGAAGGGCCCCCACAUGUCAUCUACCUGGAUAAUCCUAGCCCUUGGGAAAUGGGUCCUCAGCAGCUAAGGCAUUUUGCUUAUCAAGAAAACCCAGUAGUCAGUGGCAGAGCCAAAAGGAGAUUCCAAAAAGCCUCUGGACCCUCGCUCCAGGGCUCAAGACUUUCCAGGCUAUCAGGCAGAAUGAGCUCAAGAAGGCAUCUUGCUUAAGCCUGAGCUGAGCAUUAAGAUGGGAAAUCAUGCAAGCUCCAAACUCAGUUAGUAUUUGGGGAUUAUUGGGUAUUUGGGGUUCUCUCUACUUUGUUUUUCUCCUUUAAAGAUAUGAAAAGAGACCUGCUUUUCUCGUGCUGGGUGAGUGACCUUAAGGAAUCCAUCUGGGUAUGCUGCUCACUGUCCCCUCCCUUAUUCCCCACAGGCCAAGACCAGGGGCGCAUGUGCAGGAAGAGGCUCUGAGCAUUGCAAAUUCCUGGGCUGCCUUUUAAAAUAUAAUAAUAAUAAGUCUCCAAAAUAGCUAAAUAUCACUCAUUUAAGCUAACAGAGGGAAAGGCUAGUUUUUAUUAUUGUUUGAAAAAUAGGAGCCAGAGAGGAUCUGAAAAGAAAGUGGCCCUUUAAAGAAUAUACAAUAAGAGAAGUUUGCUGCUAACAAGGAGGAGUUGUAUUAAACUGGCCUUAUUUAGCUGGUCUGUAAAUGCAUGAAAACUGUCCGGAGCAGACCAAGUGAUUCCUGUUUUACCUCAUGUACAUUUUACAUCUGCUUAAUAAACCCUGAUCAGGGAAUACAGAGAUGUCCCUGAAGAUGCACAGGUAAAUCUGAGCUUCAUCCAGGUUUACUUUGAACUAAUUCUAAGUGUACAGGCUCUGAAUGAAUGUGGCUUUGCUGUAUCCAUCAAUGUGAGUCCUAUUUUAUUGAGCAAUUCUAUUCUUAGUUCUUUGAGGGGGAGGCAGACAGAAAGCCUCGGUUCUCCUCCAUUCCAUUCCCCUCCCAGGACGGCAUUUAACAUGCUGCUCCUGCCAGCUGGCAGACAGCCACGCCAAUGGCCCUGUCAGCACUGGCUGCAGAGAAUAAGAAACUAAACCAUAAAAGGCCAGAACUGCAGCCCGCGUAGUGGUGAUCGGAGGAGGGGAGUGCGUGGCACUGCGCAGGAGCUGGGCAUCGUGGGGGCUGGGGGGAGGGAGAGCUUUUCUGUAGAAAAGCAGUUCAAAGAAGCUGACCCCAAAGUUGCUUAAGGAGGAGCAGAUGAGAGAGAACAUCAAAGAAAAGUUUAAACUGAUGCUUGCUGAUAGGACGGGAGUACAGGGCCAAAUCAGUGCUUCAGAACAGAUCUAAAUGUACCAGUAAAGUGGAUCACUAGCACCAAGCCUCCACAGGUUCCUGACUCCUUGGGAGGAAAUUAUUCAAAUAAACACCUGGAGUCACCAAAAAGAGA